rnacentral:misc_RNA from 1 species
UACGGAGGGUGCAAGCGUUAUCCGGAAUCAUUGGGCGUAAAGAGUGCGUAGGCGGACUAUUAAGUCAGAUGUCAAAGACCAUAGCUCAACUAUGGGAAGGUAUUUGAAACUGGUAGUCUAGAGUUUUGCAGAGGUAUGCGGAAUUCUGUGUGUAGGGGUAAAAUCCGUAGAUACACAGAGGAACACCAAAAGCGAAGGCAGCAUACUGGGCAAAUACUGACGCUGUUGCACGAAAGCGUGGGUAGCGAACAGG